UGGGUGGCCAAGGAAGACCUUACUGAGAGGGAGACUUUUGAGUACAGACCUGCAAGAACUGAAGUAGGGAGCUGAUUAAUAUCUUAGGGAAGAGCAUUUCAGCCAGAAAGAAAAGUAAGUACAAAAGCCCCGAGGCAAGAAGAAUGUUCAAGGAAUAGUGGGAAGGCCCCAGGAGGCUGAAGCAGGAGAGAUCAGAGAGGCUAAGUGAAAGUGGCAUAUCAUGGAGGACCCCUAGAUGACAGUAAGAACUGUGGCUUGUACUCUGAAGGAGUGACAAGCAUUGAAAGAGUUCUGAGGAGAAGGAUUACAUAAUCUGAAGUUCUUUCUGAAAGGAUCACUCUGGUUACUGUGAGGAGGGAAAUCAGGUAGGUCUGGGUUCCUGAAUGCCAAGUGAAGAAAGUACUUCAAGAGUGAGCAAUCAGGCUGUGCAUGGUGGCUUAUGCAGGUAAUCCCAACACUUUGAUGCGGGGGUGGGGGUCUAAGCAGGAGGGCUGCUUAAGGCCAGGAGUUCAAGACCAGCCUGGGCAACAGUGAAACUCCCACCUCUACAGAAUUUUUUUUUUAAUCAGCUGGACAUGGCGACCUUAGUCCCAGCUACUCCAAAGACUGAGCCAGGAGGAUCUUUUGAGCCCAGGAGUUUGAAGCUGCAGUGGGCUAUGAUUGCACCACUGCACUCCAGCCUGGACGACAGAGACCUUGUCUCAAAAAAAAAAAAGGGGGGUGGGGUGGGCGGUUAAGAUCAGUACUGAAUGGUUCGCUAGGUUUCACAACACGGAGGACACUGACAAACUUGAAAGGAGCCAUCUGGGUGGGGUGGUAAGGAGACAAUGUCGUCAGAAACUUCAGAUUGAAAAGCAUGUACUUGAGUAGCUGUAUUUAAGGAAUUACACCCAAGAAGUCUCAUCUUCCCUGGACUUACGUAGAGGAUAAGAUUCUGAACUUUGAAUUGAUGCUAUAAUGGGAUAAGACUUUGGGGCCUUAGAAGGGGAGAACAAAGGCCAUGAAGGUGUUAAAGGGAAGCAAGCGAUCGACAGCAUUGGUUGGUGACAAACCUGUGGCUGGUCUGUGUAUGAUGGGAUGGAUUCCUCCUGCUCCCAGAAGGCACUGUACUUUCAGUGUUCAGGGCAGCCUUGCCUUAGUGCCUCAAACCUAUCCCUACAUCCUGCAGUAAACUUGGAAAGGUAACACCUCUAACCAUCAGGCCUUCCUCUGAAGCACAGUCAAGUUGCUCUUGGCAACCAUCUCAAUUUUAAUAGUGC
rnacentral:lncRNA from 10 species